AUGCAGAGGGUGCGAGCGUUAAUCGGAAUUACUGGGCGUAAAGCGCGCGUAGGCGGCUUAUUAAGUCAGAUGUGAAAUCCCCGGGCUCAACCUGGGAACUGCAUCUGAUACUGGUAAGCUAGAGUUUUGGAGAGGGAAGUAGUAUUUCAGGUGUAGCGGUGAAAUGCAUAGAGAUCUGAAGGAAUACCAGUGGCGAAGGCGACUUCCUGGCCAAAAACUGACGCUGAGGUGCGAAAGCGUGGGUAGCAAACGGGAUUAGAUACCCCAGUAGUCC
rnacentral:rRNA from 1 species